rnacentral:lncRNA from 1 species
ACCUCAUCAUAGAGUUGAUCUCAACUUAAGGCCGAGGUCGCCACAAAACCGACCUCAAUUGGAGACUGAGGUCACCAUAAAAUGGACCUCAAUGGGAGCCGAUCUCAACAGAAAGCUGAGAACAUUAAGAAGCUGAGCUCAAUCUAAAUUCAAUUUAAAUCAGAGGCUGAGUUCAUAUAAAGCCGACCUGAAUUGAAGGCCGAAUGCCGAUCUGAAUUGGAGGCUGAAUGCUGACCUGGUUCAACCUAACUCAUCUAAACACCGAUCUGAGCUACCUGAAUUGACUUUUGGUGAAGUAUUAUAAUCAGCUCAUAUAAAUAUCGAUUUGACUUAUUUCAGCUCAUAUAAAUACUGAUCUAAAGCAAAGUGUUCUAUAUAUCUGAAACAUCUGAUCUCAUAUGAUACUUGAUCUUACCUCAAUCGUUUAUCUAGAUGAGCCAUUACAUUAGUGGCAGCAAUCAUUCUACGAGAGUCCGUCACAAUCUCUAUAACUAGGCUACAGUUGGCCACAAUCUCACAUGCAGUUACGCUACAACUCAUCUCCAGCUGGCACAUACAGCUAAGUAUGAUCUCAUUUCUAGCUAAUAUAUAC